AAGGAUUUAGUUAAACUUAUAACAUUAGCUUGUCAAACUAAAAUUAUUAAAUAUAAUAUUCCUUA
rnacentral:tRNA from 1 species